rnacentral:tRNA from 1 species
GCAGGGGUAGCCAAGUGGCCAACGGCGCCGGACUCAAGAUCCGGUCUCACAGGAGUUCGCGGGUUCAAAUCCCUCCCCCUGCA